UACGAAGGGGGCUAGCGUUGCUCGGAAUGACUGGGCGUAAAGGGCGCGUAGGCGGAUGGCACAGUCAGAUGUGAAAUUCCUGGGCUUAACCUGGGGGCUGCAUUUGAUACGUGUGAUCUGGAGUGAGGAAGAGGGUUGUGGAAUUCCCAGUGUAGAGGUGAAAUUCGUAGAUAUUGGGAAGAACACCGGUGGCGAAGGCGGCUUACUGGUCCGGUACUGACGCUGAGGUGCGAAAGCGUGGGGAGCAAACAGG
rnacentral:rRNA from 1 species